UACGAAGGGAGCUAGCGUUGUUCGGAAUCACUGGGCGUAAAGCGCACGUAGGCGGACGUGUCAGUCAGGGGUGAAAUCCCGGAGCUCAACUUCGGAACUGCCUUUGAUACAGCACGUCUUGAGUCCGGAAGAGGUGGGUGGAAUUCCUAGUGUAGAGGUGAAAUUCGUAGAUAUUAGGAAGAACACCGGUGGCGAAGGCGGCCCACUGGUCCGGUACUGACGCUGAGGUGCGAAAGCGUGGGGAGCAAGCAGG
rnacentral:rRNA from 1 species